CCCUUAGAUGCUCUGGGCCGCACGCGCGCUACACUGGUCGAUGCAACGAGUUUCUUUCCUUGGCCGACAGGCCUGGGCAAUCUUUGAACAUCGAUCGUGAUCGGGAUAGAUUCUUGUAAUUUUUGAUCUUAAACGAGGAGUUCCUAGUAAACGCAAGUCAUCAGCUUGCAUUGAUUACGACCCUGCCCUUUGUACACACCGCCCGUCGCACCUACCGAUUGAAUGGUCCGGUGAAAUCUCCGGACUGGCGUGAGUCGGAGCAAUCUGACAAACACCGGAAAGUUGAUUAAACCUUACCAUUUAGAGGAAGGUGAAGUCGUAACA
rnacentral:rRNA from 1 species